rnacentral:sRNA from 1 species
UUAGCCACAAUUCUGCUGUUCCAGCUAA